rnacentral:rRNA from 1 species
AUUGAACGCUGGCGGCAGGCCUAACACAUGCAAGUCGAACGAGUGGCGGACGGGUGAGUAAUGUCUGGGAAACUGCCUCAUAGCGGGGGAUAACUAUUGGAAACGAUAGCUAAUACCGCAUACUGUGAGAUGGACCUGCGUUGUAUUAGCUAGUUGGUGAGGUAAAGGCUCACCAAGGCCACGAUACAUAGCCGACCUGAGAGGGUGAUCCGCCACACUGGGACUGAGACACGGCCCAGACUCCUACGGGAGGCAGCAGUGGGGAAUUUUGGACAAUGGGGGCAACCCUGAUCCAGCCAUGCCGCGUGUAUGAAGAAGGCCUUCGGGUUGUAAAGUACUUUUGUUAGGGAAGCGGUACCUAAAGAAUAAGCACCGGCUAACUACGUGCCAGCAGCCGCGGUAAUUC